rnacentral:RNase_P_RNA from 1 species
CGAGUAAGACAUGCAAUCGCUGCUAGACUAGAUCUAGGAGAGGAAAGUCGGAGCUCCAUAGGGCAGGGUGCUGGAUAACGUCCAGUCAAGGCGACUUGAAGGAAAGUGCAACAGAGAGAUACCGCCUAAGGUUAAUUACUAACAAGAUUUUUAGUUUUGCUAGUAACUUAGGUAAGGGUGGAAAGGCGAGGUAAGAGCUCACCAGCAUCAUGGUGACAUGAUGGCUAUGUAAACCCCACCUGGAGCAAGGUCGAAUAGGGAAACAUAAUGGAGUAGCCCGCUCCGUUUCCGGGUGUACCGCUUGAGCUCAUUGGCAACAAUGGGCCUAGAUAGAUGAUUGCUUAAUACAGAACUCCGCUUACGGCUUAUCUCGUAAC